CCAGGAUCGCGAGCGUGAAGGAGACUCGACCGACCACCCUGGUGGCCAACGUCCUGGUGGGGUUGUCCCUCCUGCUGCUGCCCUUCCCGCUGCAGUGGAUCCCAAAGCCCGCGCUCUACGACGGCCUACCCCCAGACCCAUUACAUCCGGCGGGUGCCCCAGCGAACCGUCCACUACUUCACCGGGCUGCAGGUGCCCCAGCUGCUGCUCCUCUGUGCGUUUGGCAUGUCUCACCUGCCCUACAUGAAGAUGAUCUUCCACCUCAUCGUGAUGGCCAUGAUCCCCUUCAGGUGCCCGCCCCCCCUCUUUCACCUUCCCGGGGCACCCUCCGAUCUCUCCCCGGGGUUGGGGGAGGCGGCCUCUGGGCCUUUCUCUUUCAGUCAGUCAUUUAUUCAGUCUUAUUUAUUGAGCACUUAUUAUGUGCAGGGCACUGCAUAAAGCGCUUUGGAGAGUCCAAUGCAACAAUAAACAGACACAUUCCCAGCUCACAACGAACUUACAGUCUAGAGACCGCGUGGGAAACGUAAGCCGCUCCGCACACAAGUCGCUGCCGAGAAACCCCAAAUUCCUCGAUUGUCUAAGGAAAGAACAGAGCCCGCAGAAACCAACCAUGAACGAUUUCUACAGCUGCCCUGCAUUCGGAGCCCCCUUCCCGAGUCCUGCCGGGGUUCUCGUUCCGGCGGUGCCACCUGUCUGCUGUGUGACCUUGGGUAAGUCACUGUACUUCUCUGUGCCUCGGUUGCCUCAUCUGUAAAAUGGGGAUUGACUGUGAGUCCCAUGGGGGACAGGGAUUGUGUGA
rnacentral:lncRNA from 1 species